ensembl:rRNA 5S_rRNA 5S ribosomal RNA
GUCUACGGCCAUGCCACCAGGAACGCUCCCAAUCUCAUCUGAUCUCGGAAGUUAAGCAGGGUCGGGCCUGGUUAGUACUCGGAUGGGAGAGUAUGUCACUACAACUGGUCAAACAUUGAUA